rnacentral:rRNA from 1 species
GAUGAACGCUAGCGGCAGGCUUAAUACAUGCAAGUCGAGGGGCAGCAUGAUUGUAGCAAUACAAUUGAUGGCGACCGGCAAACGGGUGCGGAACACGUACACAACCUUCCAAUAAGUGGGGAAUAGCCCAGAGAAAUUUGGAUUAAUACCCCGUAACAUAACGAUGUGGCAUCACAUUGUUAUUAUAGAUUUUUCGCUUAUUGAUGGGUGUGCGGCUGAUUAGAUAGUUGGCGGGGUAACGGCCCACCAAGUCUACGAUCAGUAGCUGAUGUGAGAGCAUGAUCAGCCACACGGGAACAGAGACACGGGCCCGACGCCUACGGGAGGCAGCAGUAAGGAAUAUUGGACAAUGGACGCAAGUCUGAUCCAGCCAUGCCGCGUGAAGGAUUAAGGUCCUCUGGAUUGUAAACUUCUUUUAUAAGGGACGAAAAAAGGCUUUUCUAAGUCGUCUGACGGUACCUUAUGAAUAAGCACCGGCUAACUCCGUGCCAGCAGCCGCCGUAAUAC